AUACCAUGGUGAAGGCAUUUUUGUAAUGAUUUCUUGCACAACUCCUAAGCCUCAUACAGGGAUUCAUUAUCAAGUUGUUGGAAUGUGGUGAUAUCAUUCUAAAGUUU
rfam:Gossypium raimondii chromosome 6, whole genome shotgun sequence.